ACUUCCUGUAGCUGGAGCCACCAGCUGAGUUCCUCAUUUGGGGCUUGGUUGAGUUGGGCUUCGGGGUGUUGGUGGCAGCGCUGAGGGACCCCUGGCUGCCCCCAUCAUGGCAUCUGCUCUCACCGUCCUCUUCCUCGGCUGCUGGCUGGCCGAGCACAGAGGGGUUUGGGGAGGGCAUGAAUACUCCAAACCCCCCAUUUGGGUGAGCCCCAGCAGGGUGGUGGUGCUCAGGGGAAGCGUCACCAUCCGCUGUGAGGGUUUGUACCCGGGCAUGGAGUUCUUUCUGCGUAAAACUGGACAACCGAACC